rnacentral:rRNA from 1 species
GACGAACGCUGGCGGCGUGCCUAAUACAUGCAAGUAGAACGCACAGUUUAUACCGUAGCUUGCUACACCAUAGACUGUGAGUUGCGAACGGGUGAGUAACGCGUAGGUAACCUGCCUGGUAGCGGGGGAUAACUAUUGGAAACGAUAGCUAAUACCGCAUAAUAUUGAUUAUUGCAUGAUAAUUGAUUGAAAGAUGCUAUUGCAUCACUACCAGAUGGACCUGCGUUGUAUUAGCUAGUAGGUGAGGUAACGGCUCACCUAGGCGACGAUACAUAGCCGACCUGAGAAGGUGAUCGGCCACACUGGGACUGAGACACGGCCCAGACUCCUACGGGAGGCAGCAGUAGGGAAUCUUCGGCAAUGGACGAAAGUCUGACCGAGCAACGCCGCGUGAGUGAAGAAGGUUUUCGGAUCGUAAAGCUCUGUUGUAAGAGAAGAGCGGGUGUGAGAGUGGAAAGUUCACACUGUGACGGUAUCUUACCAGAAAGGGACGGCUAACUACGUG